rnacentral:rRNA from 1 species
GACGAACGCUGGCGGCGUGCUUAACACAUGCAAGUCGAACGGAAAGGCCCUGCUUGCCGGGUACUCGAGUGGCGAACGGGUGAGUAACACGUGGGUGAUCUGCCCUGCACUUCGGGAUAAGCCUGGGAAACUGGGUCUAAUACCGGAUAGGAGCCAUUUUUAGUGUGAUGGUUGGAAAGUUUUUUCGGUGUAGGAUGAGCUCGCGGCCUAUCAGCUUGUUGGUGGGGUAAUGGCCUACCAAGGCGGCGACGGGUAGCCGGCCUGAGAGGGUGGACGGCCACAGUGGGACUGAGAGACGGCCCGGACCCCUACGGGAGGCAGCAGUGGGGAAGAUUGAACAAGGGGCGCAAGCCUGAUGCAGAGACGCCGCGUGGGGGAGGACGGCCUUCGGGUUGGAAACGCAUUUCGCUAGGGACGAAGCUUUUUGUGACGGUACCUAGAUAAGAAGCACCGGCUAACUACGUG